rnacentral:lncRNA from 1 species
GGAAGCAAUUUAGAGUAUGAGAAAAAAAAAAUCCAAAAGUAGGAAGAAUUGGGGGAGGGAGGGCAGAGCUACGCCUAUGGCUGUCUUGGUGUGGCCACAUGAACCUUACAGCGCUAAAGAUUCAGUUGUUUCUGUGAACGAGGACAGAAGUGCCUCCUUCUUCAGGAAGUCCUGAUCUUAAACACAGUUAUGGUGUCUUGAACAACGAAGCAACAAGUUCCCAACCAUGAACACAGUUGAGUGGUCAAAAACACUGGCGUGUGAGCUUAGGGUUUGCUAAACUCAGUUUGAAGCCAGCAUUGACAGAGGAGAUGUGGCAGAUUUGCCUCUCCACCCAGCCUUCCCCAUCCACCAGUGUCAGGCGUGCUUCCUCCUGCUCACACCUCCUCCUCCUCCUUCCCUUUCCUUCCCUUCCCAACCACUCUUUCCCCUUGCCCUUUUCUAAGUGACUACUAGUGCCAACAGUGAGCAUUCUGUGGUGAGAUGUUACCCUCUGGGAUUUUAUGCAGUAAAGAUCCGGUUUGGAGGCCAUUGUUAGUUACUGCAGUGCUUUUGUUUCUUUCUUCUAGCAUCCACCACCACGCUUAAUAAACUUUCAGAACCACAGCCCUAAGCCCAAUGGACCAGUGCUUCCUCCUUAUCCUCAGCAGCUGAGGUACCCACCCAGCCAGAAUAUACCACGGCAGGCAAUAAAGCCCAACCCCCUGCAGAUGGCUUUUUUGGCUCAACAGGCCAUAAAACAGUGGCAGAUCAGCAGUGGACAGGCUACGCCUACAACUGCCAGCAGCUCCUCCUCCACUC